GAUCAUGGCUCAGGACGAACGCUGGCGGCGUGCUUAACACAUGCAAGUCGAACGAGGAUCUACUGAAAGAGUUUUCGGACAAUGGAAGUAGAGGAAGGUGGCGGACGGGUGAGUAACGCGUGAGGAACCUGCCUUGAAGAGGGGGACAACAGUUGGAAACGACUGCUAGUACCGCAUGAUGCAUAAGGGUCGCAUGAUUCUUAUGCCAAAGAUUUAUCGCUUCAAGAUGGCCUCGCG
rnacentral:rRNA from 1 species